GGAGAGGUGGCAGAGUGGUAAUGCAACAGCCUGCUAAGCUGUCAACGAGNAAUCGUUGCCAGGGUUCGAGUCCCUGUCUCUCCG
rnacentral:tRNA from 1 species